UACAGAGGGUGCGAGCGUUAAUCGGAAUUACUGGGCGUAAAGCGUGCGUAGACGGUAGCGUAAGUCAGAUGUGAAAGCCCCGGGCUCAACCUGGGAACUGCAUUUGUGACUGCACGGCUAGAGUGCGGCAGAGGGGGAUGGAAUUCCGCGUGUAGCAGUGAAAUGCGUAGAUAUGCGGAGGAACACCGAUGGCGAAGGCAAUCCCCUGGGCCUGCACUGACGCUCAUGCACGAAAGCGUGGGGAGCAAACAGG
rnacentral:rRNA from 1 species